GCUCCCGUAGUUUAAUGGAUAGAACACGAGCUUGCGGAGCUCGUAAUCGAGGUCCGAUUCCUCGCGGGGGCACCA
rnacentral:tRNA from 1 species